rfam:Stegodyphus mimosarum contig61323, whole genome shotgun sequence.
GCCUUCGUGGUGUAGUGGUCAGCACGCUGGGCGCGUAUUCCGGAGGUCUAUGGUUCGAAUCCCGGAGAGGGCA